AUACGUAGGUGGCAAGCGUUGUCCGGAAUUAUUGGGCGUAAAGCGCGCGCAGGUGGGAUUUUAAGUCCAUUUUGAAAGUUCGGAGCUUAACUCCGUGAUGGGAUGGAAACUGGGAUUCUUGAGUGCCGGAGAGGAAAGCGGAAUUCCCCGUGUAGCGGUGAAAUGCGUAGAUAUGGGGAGGAACACCAGUGGCGAAGGCGGCUUUCUGGACGGUGUCUGACACUGAGGCGCGAAAGCCAGGGGAGC
rnacentral:rRNA from 1 species